GCCGGAGUGGCGGAACGGCAGACGCAGGGGACUCAAAAUCCCCCGUCCCUCGGGACGUGAGGGUUCGAAUCCCUCCUCCGGCACCA
rnacentral:tRNA from 2 species